ensembl:lncRNA
AGAACUUGCUAUCUCUUAACAGGGUAUAUUGAUUAUAUCAGAGCUCCAAAGCCUUGGUUGAUAGUACAUUAUGCAAAUUCACUUGUCUUGGAUAAUUUUUUCAAUGUCAAUAAUACCAGUUUUGUCUUAACCUCUUAUGAUUUAACAGCAACACAAGAAUAGCAAUAUAUCACCCGAAUCCCUACUGUUUUCAGCUUUAAACAGGUAUAACUCAACAAUCAGGAGUAAAUCAUAUCUACCUUCCCAUUAGUGACCUAGCUAUGCCUGGCAUUGCAGAAAGCAUAUAACGCAGGACCAAAAUCAAGUCCUCUGCAAUCAUUACUAUUCAGCCGCCUGCAACUGGACCCCCUUGGAAUUUUAAACAGAGACAUUGCAGCAGCUCAUUGGGAACAAGUGAAGCUGUUCAAGAGCUGAUUAUUGCAGCAGAGCCUGAGCAAAUUAAUUAAUAAUUAGGUGUGAAAUUAUUGUACACCUUCUGUUUUCCUUAGUACUUUUCCCAUGUUGCUAAUUUACUUCUGCACCACCAAGGGACAAAGUAGAUUUAAAGAACAUAUGUGGGAAUGAGCUAAAACUCUCCCCAGGUAAACCUUGUUAUGUUUGCUAGUUUUUUGUGGGUUUUUUUUUUUUCUUGUGGGUUUUUUUUUUUUUUUUUUUUUUUUUUGGUAUUGUAUUGUAUAGAGAUUUAUCUUAACUCUUUAAAAUGCCUUACUUCUUAAAUCUAAUUUUUUUUUUUUUAGUACCUAUUUAAACAAGGCUUAUCUUGUUGAUAAGAAAGUAAUGCUUUGUCUGUCUGCUGUAUAAAAUUACACUAUACCAAGAAAUGGUAUAUUAUUUUCUUAUAUCUUACCCUGUAUGUUUGCAUUUCAAAUACAUUGCUUUAAGGAUUUUUUAUAGGAUGUAGUAACUGAAAACUGUGAGUUGUGUUAAGGCUGCAGUGCUGCGUUUAAUUAAACAAUGAUUCUAUAUGUCACUGCUUUACAUAUUUCUGCAUGUUGAACAGGUUUUACUCAGAGGGAGUGUUUGUGAAUUUUUCCAUGACAAAUAUAUGAUAGAAGCUAAGCAGACCUGACAUCUUCCGUAUGAGAACCUGAUUAUAGGUUGCACCAAAAUACAAUAUGAAUAUUACAGGUAUUUCAGUGAAAAAAUAGCUGUGACUCUCACCUUCAGUAAAAGGUGUGGAAAAAUAUCUUGGAAGUCUGAAGCAAAAUAAGCUGAGAUUUGAAGCUCGUCUUAACAGGUAAGGCUAGGGAUGGGACCUAACUGGCUGACUCUGGGCCCUUACUGUUAUUUCCAUAGCUUUAUUGACCUUUUGGGUCACUCCAAGCUGACGGAUAGGAGUAAAGUGUUUCUUGCUCUACAGUGAUCUUACGUAAGCAUAGAGAGUGUGUAGAUGCAUGUUUCUAGCAUGGCUGGAGAUAAAAAGCUUUUUCUCCUUUCACAGAACAGAAGAGUAUAGGAAAUCUUUACUUCACAAGCAGAUAUUUCACUUCAGUUCCAGGCUCGUGAGUACUGUUUUAGUCAACCAGAAACAUCAGAAAAUAAAAAUGGCUUUUGAC